rnacentral:ncRNA from 2 species
UAAAAAACACAGGGGAGCUUGCACAUGCAGGCUGAGAGUAAGUAAAAUGUAGCUUUAACCCUUUAAACCUGAUUUGGAUAAUGCCAACGUAGGGAAUCUAACUUAUGAUUAU